AUGGGAGACCAUUGGGAACAUAUGUCCACGCCACCCACAUCCACCCGGCAACUGCCUGUGUCGGCUGCCAUCGUCGGUCUACCACAAGCCCAUGACGUACCCAUCCGCAUCUGCAUCGCCUUGAGGCCACAGCAGCACCCCUGCCCUCCUGCCCCUGCUGGCAGCCGUGACCCUCGGCAUAUUGGUGCAGCAACAUCCCAUGUGUUGGCCUCGCUGUCUCAUCUCCUCUCUCUUAUGUUUGGGUCUGAUGUUAGUGUGAUGUGUGUGGGGAUGGAUAUGAGGCUAUCAUGGUGUGUAAAAAUUAUAUUUUUGGUGUAUUUGUCUUCAGAGUAUUGA
rnacentral:rRNA from 1 species